AACGAACGCUGGCGGCAUGCCUAACACAUGCAAGUCGAACGAGAUCUUCGGGUCUAGUGGCGCACGGGUGCGUAACGCGUGGGAAUCUGCCCUUUGGUUCGGAAUAACAGUUGGAAACGACUGCUAAUACCGGAUGAUGACGAAAGUCCAAAGAUUUAUCGCCAGAGGAUGAGCCCGCGUAGGAUUAGCUAGUUGGUGUGGUAAAGGCGCACCAAGGCGACGAUCCUUAGCUGGUCUGAGAGGAUGAUCAGCCAAACUGGGACUGAGACACGGCCCAGACUCCUGCGGGAGGCGGCAGGGGGGAAGAUUGGACAAGGGGCGAAGGCCUGACCCAGCAAUGCCGCGUGGGUGAUGAAGGCCUUAGGGUUGUAACGCUCUUUUACCCGGGAUGAUAAUGACAGUACCGGGAGAAUAAGCCCCGGCUACCUCCGUGCCAGCCGCCGCAGUAA
rnacentral:rRNA from 1 species